UACGUAGGUGGCAAGCGUUGUCCGGAAUUAUUGGGCGUAAAACGCGCGCAGGCGGUCCUUUAAGUCUGAUGUGAAAGCCCACGGCUCAACCGUGGAGGGUCAUUGGAAACUGGGGGACUUGAGUGCAGAAGAGGAAAGCGGAGUUCCACGUGUAGCGGUGAAAUGCGUAGAGAUGUGGAGGAACACCAGUGGCGAAGGCGGCUUUCUGGUCUGUAACUGACGCUGAGGCGCGAAAGCGUGGGGAGCAAACAGG
rnacentral:rRNA from 1 species